rnacentral:misc_RNA from 1 species
CAGUGAAUCACUCGAAGACAAUGGUCUUUAUUGAUAAGCUGAAGACAAUGGUGAACCGAAGCGUCGGCUUACGCGCCGGAAACGCUCUUGCCUCCUCCUCUGGAGCGUCGCCGCCUACCUUUGCGGAGGCGUGGAAUCAAGCAAAGGCAAUGACAAACAAGCUUUUCGAGGAGCGUGAGUGGCAGUGUCCGUGCGGGCACAAGUUCCGUGCUGCCGGCGAGUGGGUUGCCUGUGCGCCGAUAUACUGCGAAGUACCAUCUUGCCCCAACCCCAAAUACUACAUCGACGGCCCUGGGCGUGCCCUCCUAGAGGCAAAUCCCUCAGGUGUGAAGCUGGAGGAGGUGAACAAUACACGCGGUGGCGUCACUUCUCAGCCAGAUUCCGGCAAAAAACCCGGAGGUGUCGGCUCGCGUUUUCGAUGAGUUUUGGUUUGCUGGAAGUCCUGAGUAACUGCUUCGCUUUCAGUGCCUUAGCUAGGCUUAAACGGAAAAGGGAGGAAAAAUGACUAACUGGCACCUGUUGCUUUCUUCCGUGCAGCCGACGGACAAACUCCACACUUCUUUUUUUAUCCUGUUUCCAACAGCAAGAAAAUGAAGAGUAAGCCGUUUGUGAGAUUGAUGUACGUGCUACCUAUGCAUGUGAGUUGCAGGAAUUAUCCUCCGACUUUGAUUAAGCUAUUGCGGCUACCCUGGUAAGCGCAUGCCGCUGCUAGGUAGAUUCUAUUCAUCGCGCUCAUAACUGGAAAAGAUGCUGAUCCCUCACUUGCUUGCUGCAGGACACUAGGCGUUUCCCUUUUUUUCUCCGCUAUUCUCUUAUAUUCAAUCUGCGUUUGUGAACGUGCCCUACUUGGUUCUUGCUCUCUCGCUUCUUGCCACGCAG